AAGUGUUUCAUUUGUAGGUUUCAUUACAUGAUCAAUUCUACCUUCAAGUACUUGUUCCACUUCAAUCCAUCCCUGACUCUAAUCCUUCUUGCUCAUUUUAUAUCCUUUGAUCACAAGAUCAAAAACAUGUAACAGAUCCUUGUCUUUAGGAUUCAUUUGUGGAACACAAGGGUCAUAUUCAUGAUAAUUAACACCAACUAUUGAUUUCCCUUCAACCUGCUAAUAUAUCCCUCGUAAAAUUGUGAGGAACUUGCGAUGAAUUUUCUCGCACAUUCGUCGCAGAAUUGCGGGGACUUUGCGAGAAGAUAGGAGAACGUCGCUAAUUCAUUGCAAAAUUUGCGAGGAAUAUAUCCCUCGCAAAAUUUUCUUCUUCCUCUUCUUUUUCUUCUUCUCUAGUAGAACUGGCAGAAACUCUUUCGAUCCCUAAAUAGUCCUCCAUCCUUCUAACUUUGUACCUAAAAACUUCACAAUUUUCAUAGACAAGUCCUAUUUUCUCAGCAAAGGAUAUUGAUUUCAUUUUUCUACUGCAAUACACAAGUGUUUCAAUUGCAGGUUUCAUUUCAUGAUCAAUUCUACCUUCAUGUUACUGUUCCACUUUAAUCCAUCCCUGACUCCAAUACUUCUUGCUCAUUUUAUAUCCUUUGUUCACAAGAUCAAAAAUAUGUAACAGAUCCUUGUCUUUAGGAUUCUUUUUUGAAACCAAGUGGUCAUAUUCAUGAGAAUUAAUACCAACUAUUGGUUUUUACUUCAACCUGCAAAUAUAUAUCUCGCCAAAUUGCGAGGUACUUCCGAACCGAAAAACCAAGAUAUUGAUUCGACAAAAAGAAAUAAAAAUCGAACAAACCCAAAUAUAAAACUUUAGUGCCUUAAAUUUGUUAUCUUCAAUUGAUUCCUUUGCUGGAGAAACAAAAAAUUUUAAAUUGUUCUAAGGAAGAAGACAGUGUAGACGACAGUUUCUCUAAAUUUUUUCUUUACUUU
rnacentral:sRNA from 1 species